UUCUUCUACUGGCUGAUUUUUUGUGAGAUACAGCAGUAUUUUGUGUAUUUCAUCUCUGGAGAAACAGUAUCUCAAUAUAAUACUCUGAGGAGGGAUUUCAUCAAGAUUGAAAGGAAAAAAGGUAUAAGGAACUAGAAGCUGAUAUCAAUAUUGAUUUUGCAGUGAUUUGGUCACAGCAACAGUUGCAACAGUAUCGGCGGUGGCAGCUACCUCUAUAACAAUUAUUUCAUCAUCCACCAAUUGAGCGGUAGUAAGGACAAGGACAGAGUAGGUCUACUAAUCAUCUGAUAAAAAUCAUCAUAUCAAAUCACCCCAGCUGCUACUCCUAUAUUUGAGUGUACCAAUUAAUGUGACCCGGGUUACAGUUGAACAUGGUUUAUUCAAACAUGAACAUGGUUUUAAAAAAGUGGGUCUUGUAGAUAAACCAUGCUCAGUUUUUCACACUAGUAAUAAGCAAUGGCAUGGUUUAGAGCAGAACUCUUUUGAAAACCAUGUUCAGUUUUUGUUGGAGCCCUCAGCUAUCUAUUACAGACUAGCACACCGCACAUAUAUACCUCAGCUGCCUACAUGCUAAUACAACUACUUAGACAUCCC
rnacentral:sRNA from 1 species